UACGGAGGGUGCAAGCGUUAUCCGGAUUCACUGGGUUUAAAGGGUGCGUAGGUGGGCAAGUAAGUCAGUGGUGAAAUCUCCGGGCUUAACCCGGAAACUGCCAUUGAUACUAUUUGUCUUGAAUACUGUGGAGGUCAGCGGAAUAUGUCAUGUAGCGGCGAAAUGCUUAGAUAUGACAUAGAACACCAAUUGCGAAGGCAGCUGGCUACACAAAUAUUGACACUGAGGCACGAAAGCGUGGGGAUCAAACAGG
rnacentral:rRNA from 1 species